rnacentral:rRNA from 1 species
AGUGAACGCUGGCGGUAGGCCUAACACAUGCAAGUCGAACGGCAGCACAGUAAGAGCUUGCUCUUACGGGUGGCGAGUGGCGGACGGGUGAGGAAUACAUCGGAAUCUACUUUUUCGUGGGGGAUAACGUAGGGAAACUUACGCUAAUACCGCAUACGACCUACGGGUGAAAGCAGGGGAUCUUCGGACCUUGCGCGAUUGAAUGAGCCGAUGUCGGAUUAGCUAGUUGGCGGGGUAAAGGCCCACCAAGGCGACGAUACGUAGCUGGUCUGAGAGGAUGAUCAGCCACACUGGAACUGAGACACGGUCCAGACUCCUACGGGAGGCAGCAGUGGGGAAUAUUGGACAAUGGGCGCAAGCCUGAUCCAGCCAUACCGCGUGGGUGAAGAAGGCCUUCGGGUUGUAAAGCCCUUUUGUUGGGAAAGAAAAGCAGCAGGUUAAUACCCCGCUGUUCUGACGGUACCCAAAGAAUAAGCACCGGCUAACUUCGUG